GCGUCCGCUUUCCCCCCAACCCUAGACUCCUCCCGCCCCCACGCCAGCCUCCACCUCCCCCAGGGGCGCCGGCGAGGCCCCUGGGGAUCGCUCCGCUCCCGGGUUGCGCGCGCGUGCGCUUCAUUCACAUUAUUAAAGCGAAGGAAGCCGAGGAAAAGAAAGAUUGGUUCCCUGGAAGGACCCUGGGGAAGCCGCACACCUCUCUUUCCAACCCGGGACAGCCAGGAUCUCCUUAGUCCCCGGGAUUCUGCAAUCUGUGGAAUGGGGAUUGUGUCCCCUUUCCUCCUUUCCCCACGGCCUUAUGCCUGUACCUGGUUAUGAAGGUCUAGGCAUGGAUGCACUGUGAGACUCCUCGGGUUUCCAAAGGCCCCAGAUGUGGGUCACAGACUGGAGACAUUCUUUAUGGGCCAAGCCCGACGAAGAUCACCUCCACUCCAACCCAAGCAGCCAAGGGGUUCUAGCAAGCACUGGGAAGCUCUGGAUUUCUUCGGAUGGGGACUGAGGAUGUGACACACUACAGUCACACUUCUGAUAGUCCUUUGCUGGUAGAGGCAGGAAUGCCCGCAACUGUAUUAGUCUUGUAGCCUCCAGCUGUUUCUUCUCCCUGUUCUUCUCUGAACCUUUACUUUUUCUUCAAUUGGCUCUUCCUCAGCCUAACCGGCUUCCUCACCUCCCUUUAACCUUGUCAGACUCUGCCUCAGGCCCUCUGACUUUUUCCCUUAAUUGCUUUUGGUGCUGGCGGGAUCACAAGCUGGAUACACUCCUUGCGCCUUGGAGCCAGGCUCCUUCCUCACCACCCAGUUCCCCUCCUCCCCUGCAGGAGGCCUGAGACCCACCCGAGAGCUCAGGUUUUCUUACUUCACACCGCUGUUCUUGUUGCAUCCUCGAGGGUUGUCCUGUGGGCUGCUAUUCUGAACCCCUGGAAAUUGAAGGAGAUGCAUGGAAAGCUGCUGCCCUUGCAAUUUUACCUCCUGGGGCACCUUCCCAGCUUUCCUCAGAGAAAAUUAAUGACCCCAGCCUUGGAGCACUGUUCUUUUUCUCUGGAGAGUGUGAGCUCCCCCCCCCCCCUUCGUCUAGGAUGUAUGAGCCAUGUGUGGUAGCAGUGUGCAAAUGUUUGCCCUGGGAAAAUUAUCUUUUGCUGGGAGAGGGGAAUAUAAACAAAUAGAAAAAAAAUACAGAAUAAUAAAGAGCGAGGACCAGGCUGACUACCCCAGUCAGCGUUGCUGGCCUUUUCCUCUGCCUUGGGGAGGGGGGUGUCUGUUCUGCUUUCCAAAGUUUCAAAGGACAAUAAAAAAAAUAUUCACUGUCA